rnacentral:rRNA from 1 species
CCUACGGGAGGCAGCAGUGAGGAAUAUUGGUCAAUGGUCGGGAGACUGAACCAGCCAAGCCGCGUGAGGGAGGAAGGUACAGAGUAUCGUAAACCUCUUUUGUCAGGGAACAAAGGCGGGGACGUGUCCCCGGCUGAGUGUACCUGAAGAAAAAGCAUCGGCUAACUCCGUGCCAGCAGCCGCGGUAAUCCGGAGGAUGCGAGCGUUAUCCGGAUUUAGUGGGUUUAAAGGGUGCGCAGGCGGUCUGUUCAGUACGCGGUCAAAGCCCGGGGCCAAACCCCGGCCCGCCGUUGAAACUGGCAGUCGAGAGUUGGAGAGAAGUAUGCUGAAUGCGCGGUGUAGCGGGGAAAUGCAGAGAUAUCGCGCAGAACUCCGAUUGCGAAGGCAGCAUGACGGCUCCACACUGACGCUGAGGCACGAAAGCGUGGGUAUCGAACAGGAUUAGAUACACUAGUAGUC